rnacentral:rRNA from 1 species
AACGAACGCUGGCGGCAUGCCUAACACAUGCAAGUCGAACGAACCCUUCGGGGUGAGUGGCGCACGGGUGCGUAACACGUGGGAACCUGCCCUUAGGUUCGGAAUAACACAGAGAAAUUUGUGCUAAUACCGGAUAAUGUCUUCGGACCAAAGAUUUAUCGCCUUUGGAUGGGCCCGCGUAGGAUUAGCUAGUUGGUGAGGUAAAGGCUCACCAAGGCGACGAUCCUUAGCUGGUCUUAGAGGAUGAGCAGCCACACCGGGACUGGGACACGGCCCAGACUCCUACGGGAGGCAGCAGUGGGGAAUAUUGGACAAUGGGCGAAAGCCUGAUCCAGCAAUGCCGCGUGAGUGAUGAAGGCCUUAGGGUUGUAAAACUCUUUUACUGGGGAUGAUAAUGACAGUACCCAGAGAAUAAGCCCCGGCUAACUCCGUGCCAGCAGCCGCCGUAAAAC